UAGCUUAGUCAGUAAAGCACUUGCCUUGAAAACAUGAGGACCUGAGUUUGAUUCCCAG
rnacentral:tRNA from 1 species